GUACCUUUGCCCCGUCAAGGUGCCAGACCCCAAUUGCGGGGCGCGGCUGAAAAGGGAAUCCGGUUUAAUGCCGGAGCUGUCCCCGCAACUGUACGCUCCAUAUCGGGGUAGGCCUCAAUGCCACUGUUCGCGCUUGGUUUUCAACCCGAAAACCAGCGCAAUGAAUGGGAAGGCGGCCCACCCGGCGGAGCAAGCCAGGAGACCUGCCCGGACAUUCACAGGUUC
rnacentral:ncRNA from 2 species